rnacentral:rRNA from 1 species
CAGUCGCCGCGGGAAUACGUAGGUGGCAAGCGUUGUCCGGAAUUAUUGGGCGUAAAGGGCUCGCAGGCGGUUUCUUAAGUCUGAUGUGAAAGCCCCCGGCUCAACCGGGGAGGGUCAUUGGAAACUGGGAAACUUGAGUGCAGGAGAGGAGGGUGGAAUUCCACGUGUAGCGGUGAAAUGCGUAGAGAUGUGGAGGAACACCAGUGGCGAAGGCGACUCUCUGGUCUGUAACUGACGCUGAGGAGCGAAAGCGUGGGGAGCGAACAGGAUUAGAUACCCCAGUAGUCCCUGUCUCUUAUAC